GCACCAGUGGCGGAAUUGGUAGACGCGCACGCUUGAGGGGCGUGUGGCAUAUGCUGUGUGAGUUCAAGUCUCGUCUGGUGCACCA
rnacentral:tRNA from 1 species